UACGUAGGGUGCGAGCGUUGUCCGGAAUUAUUGGGCGUAAAGAGCUCGUAGGCGGCCUGUCGCGUCGGAUGUGAAAGCCCGGGGCUUAACCCCGGGUCUGCAUUCGACACGGGCAGGCUGGAGUGUGGUAGGGGAGAUCGGAAUUCCUGGUGUAGCGGUGAAAUGCGCAGAUAUCAGGAGGAACACCGAUGGCGAAGGCAGGUCUCUGGGCCACUACUGACGCUGAGAAGCGAAAGCAUGGGGAGCGAACAGG
rnacentral:rRNA from 1 species